GAUGAACGCUAGCGAUAGGCUUAACACAUGCAAGUCGAGGGGCAGCACAAGGUAGCUUGCUAUCUGGGUGGCGACCGGCGCACGGGUGCGUAACGCGUAUGCAACUUGCCCUAUACAGGAGGAUAACCCGUCGAAAGACGGACUAAUACUGCGUAUGCUCACAACUUGGCAUCAAGUGGUGAGGAAAGAAAUUCGGUAUAGGAUGGGCAUGCGUCCCAUUAGCUUGUUGGUGAGGUAACGGCUCACCAAGGCAACGAUGGGUAGGGGAACUGAGAGGUUUAUCCCCCACACUGGUACUGAGACACGGACCAGACUCCUACGGGAGGCAGCAGUGAGGAAUAUUGGUCAAUGGGCGCGAGCCUGAACCAGCCAAGUCGCGUGAAGGAUGACUGUCUUAUGGAUUGUAAACUUCUUUUAUACGGGAAUAACAAGAGUCACGUGUGACUCCCUGCAUGUACCGUAUGAAUAAGCAUCGGCUAACUCCGUG
rnacentral:rRNA from 1 species